rnacentral:lncRNA from 1 species
AAGACGUUCAAUUGUUCUCUGAAGAAUUGGUUUUUAAUUUAAAUGAGUAGUUAUUGUUGCCAACUGAAUUAGAAAUUUGAAUUGGGAUUAUUUUUGGAAUAAGUGAUUAGGGAAGGUGAAAACAAUGGGGAGGGUUUAGGGGUAAAAUUUGUCUCAUUUCAGAUUUCAGAAAUAAUUUGUUUUGUUUUGAGGGGAUUUAUAUUCAACAGCAAAGUGAAUUGCUCAAAAGCAAAAAAAAAAAUUGUACAUUAAUGCUGUUCAGGGUUCAACCUCUGUAGUCGUAUAAAGCUGUGCCCUGCGGAGCAUCUGGUUUUUAUUGAUAGGAUGUGUAAAUUUAAAAAUUGAAUUCUUGAAAUUCUUGAUAACCUGAAUCUAAACAUGUAUUUAGAUUUUUGAUUAUGGGCCCAGUUUUCAAGUUGGUCCAAAUCGGGGUCCAAAAUUAAACUUUCCUUGAUUUCAACAAAAAUUAAAUAUAAGGUGUUCCUUGAUAUGCUGAAUCUUACCAUGUAUUUAGAUUUUUGAUUUUUGGGCCCCAUUAUCAAAUUGGUCCACAUUGAGGUCAAAAGGGUCCAAAAUCAAACUUUUGUUUGAUUUCAUUAAAAAUUGAAUUCUUGUGGUUCUUUGAUAUGCCGAAUCUUACCACGCAUUUAGAUUUUGGAUAUUGGACCAUAAUAGGUAAAUUAAUCUUUUUUAAGUUUUUAGACCACAUUCAUUCUGUGUCAGAAACCUCUGCUGUGUCAAAUAGUUAAUCACAAUCCAAAUUCAGAGCUGUAUCAAGCUUGAAUGUUGUGUCCAUACUUGCCCCAACUGUUCAGGGUUCGACCUCUACGGUUGUAUUAAGCUGCGUUCUUUGGAGCAGUUUAUUAACUUUUAAAAUAAAUGUGUAAACAGUAAGAUGUUGACUGGAACAGUAUCCGAAUUGGAUAUGUCAUAUAAUCUUGAAUGUUAGAAUGAUUAAUUAUUAAACUCUAAACAUUAUAAGAGUUGAUGAGGUUCUUGUUGAGAAUUACAUUAAUGUGCUGUAAGGUAAAAAAAGUUUUAAAGUUUUUAACUUUAACUAAAAAAUGUGAAGCAUGUGAAAAAGAGGCGAAGGAUACCUAAGGGACAUUCAAACUCAUAAGUCGAAAAUACACCGAAAACGCCAUGGCUAAAAAGAAAAAGACAAACAAACUACAUUACACAAAACACAACAUAAAAAACCAAAGAGUGAGCAACACGAACCCCACCAAUCCUACUACCACAUGUGGCACCCAUGGUGUUGCUCAUGUUACUAGUACAAAUCCGGUGAUAAGUCUAAUUUGGUAUGUCACAUUCGGGGUAAAGGGGACGGGAUUGUAGUUACGACAAUUAGAACAUAUCCGUUGUCAUCUGUGAAAUGGAUAUUCCAUAACGUUCAACCAUCUCGUGUUGGGGUCCGUUAAAUUUACGAAGGGACAAUUUCAACUUCACCACUUGGAACGCUUUGUUUAAUAGCUUUCGGGAAUCAUAUAUUACAAAGAUGCAAUCCCAAAAUAGUUACUCGAAGUAGAAAUUUCACUGGUCCCCAUCGCACAGCAGUCAACUUGAGAAAUCUCAAAUUUGCUAACUCAACCAUACUCCGUACAAAGGUACUGGGUGACUAUCUUACAUUAGUUUAUUUACGACUUCUGAGUUUGAAUGUCCCUCUGGUAUCUUUCGUCUCUCUUUUUCUCAUAUGUCACAGAGCACCUAACACAAAACCAACAUGCUGAUGUUUACUGCGGC